CUUGAAAGCUGACUGGGCCAAUCACCAGGAGACUGGGAGUUCUAGUCCCACUUUAAGAAUGAAAACUGGGUGACUGGGCCAAUCACCAGGAGACAGUGAGUUCUAGUCCCGCCUUAAGACUUGAAUGGCUGGGUGACUUUGAGUCAAUCACCAGGAGACUGGGAGUUCUAGUCCCACUUUAAGAAUGAAAAGUGGGUGACUUUGGGCCAAUCACCAGGAGACAGUGAGUUCUAGUCCCACAUUAAGACUUGAAAGCCGGCUGGGUGGCUUUGGCCCAGCCUCUCUCUCUCUGCCCAACCCACCUCACAGGGGGGUUGUUAUAAGGAAAAUAGGAGGAAGAAGGUGUUGUGGCCCGUACGUGGCCUGUGCAGCUGGUGGCUGAUUCGGACAGCGAGGAGGCUGGUGUGGUGCUGUGCCAGCAGCCUGGGCAGCUGGCACUCGAGUUAGACAAUGAGGAGGCUGGAGAAGAUGUGAUGCCAGAGGCGGGGAUUCAGCCAGGGCCUCCAGAAGCUCCCAUAAGUGAAGAGGACAAAGAGGAGGAGCCUCUUCUCGAUGCACGAGAGCGCAGAGCGGCCAAAAGGCAGGAGUGGCUCAUCAGGAGGAGGUCUCCUCGAGAGUAAGGCUUGGGGCUAAUUGGCCACUCUCUUAGCCUAUUUAAGGAGGAACGCCGACUGAAGCAAUUUGCAGGGAACAACUUUAGUUCACUCUCCUUCGCAUCUGGAUUCUCUGCAAAUUGCUUCUGGGCUUUAUGCCAACCAUAGUAAGGUUAAGAUUAUUUAUUCUUUGGAUUCUUGCAGGCUGUUAAAAAAGUAAUUAACAGCCUUUGUUUGGAAAAAAAACCCCCUGAUUUUAUUUUAGUAAACUAAGGUUUGUACAGAC